rnacentral:rRNA from 1 species
AUGAACGCUAGCGACAGGCCUAACACAUGCAAGUCGAGGGGCAGCACAAGGAGCAAUCUGAGGUGGCGACCGGCGCACGGGUGAGUAACACGUAUGCAACCUGCCUGUAAGCGGGGAAUAACCCGUUGAGAGACGGACUAAUACCGCAUAAUACUAAAUUACUGCAUGGUAAUUUAUUUAAACAUUUAUGGCUUACAGAUGGGCAUGCGCAUGAUUAGCUAGUUGGAGAGGUAACGGCUCCCCAAGGCAACGAUCAUUAGGGGUUCUGAGAGGAAGGUCCCCCCACACUGGUACUGAGACACGGACCAGACUCCUACGGGAGGCAGCAGCGAGGAAUAUUGGUCAAUGGACGAGAGUCUGAACCAGCCAAGUCGCGUGCAGGAAGAAUGUCCUAUGGAUUGUAAACUGCUUUUGCAGGGGAAUAAAGUGCAUCACGUGUGAUGUUUUGUAUGUACUCUGCGAAUAAGGAUCGGCUAACUCCGUGCCAGCCGCGGC